UUUUGGUCAUAUUUCCGAUGAUGAUGAUGAUGAUGAUGAUGAUGAUGAUCAUCAUCAUCAUCAUCGUCAUCAUCGUCAUCGUCGUCGUCG
rnacentral:pre_miRNA from 1 species